rfam:Triticum aestivum genome assembly, contig: Triticum_aestivum_CS42_TGACv1_scaffold_222883_3B
UAUAUAUUCCCUCGGUCCCAAAAUUCUUGUCUUACAUUGUCUAGAUAUGGAUGUAUCUAACACUAAAGCUUAACUAGAUACAUCUGUAUUUAGAAAAAUUUAAGACAAAAAUCUUGGGACGAACGGAGUAUUUC